ensembl:ncRNA lncRNA:CR45978 long non-coding RNA:CR45978
AUAAACAUGGAAGCGAAAAAAAUGAUAGCGAGGAAAUUGAAAUUUCCUGGCUGGAUUACCUGGAACAUUGGCAAAUGAAAACAAACGCAUUCGAUCGAACAGAUGAGCUCAUUAUUGAAUCUCAACCGAGUGCAACGAAUCAAUUCGAAACGAGAAAGAUGCAGCCAGGACAUAAAUCCUAUUAGAAACCCAAUCAACCGUUUCAAAUGGGAUACACGUUCCUGCUUGAUCCUGUCCUCGUUUCAGAUCCUUUCAAUUUUCGGGUCAAAGAAUCGGAGAAGCGUUACAAAUCGGAUGCCAUAUGUGCGAGGGCUGGGACUGUGGCUCAGAUAGUUCAACCUACUAAGCUUAAUAUGAACUCUAGUUAUAUCUUUUAGAUGGUUAGAAAUCACGAUCGGCAAUCAAUGUUGGUGGCCCUCGACUAAGGCCAAUUUGUCGGCAAUUUGAAAGCAAAUUGAAAGUGUCUAUGUAACAAUUUUCGUGGCCCAUGGAGAGAAAGGACACGCAGGACUACCCACAUAGAUCACAAAAGGCGGACCAAAGCGAGAAUCGGAGAAGAGGAAACUGCUACUUUUCGCACAAUGCUCGGGCGCAUGAAAAGAGACACCUCCGAACUAUUCCCUUGUCACUACUAUGUAUCCCCGAUCCUGGGUGCCCGACAAGCCGACGCAUCCGUCACCUGGUGCGAUUAGCAGUCACAAUGGUGAGCGGCUACGGCAGGAUCAAAGCGGAAAAUUCAUUUGGCUUGGUGGUCUUCGUCUCGGUUUCGCUUUUGAUCUCCGCACAAACGAUCCUUUAUAUCGCUCAACACGAAUUUACU